UACGUAGGGUCCGAGCGUUGUCCGGAAUUAUUGGGCGUAAAGGGCUCGUAGGCGGUUUGUCGCGUCGGGGAGUGAAAACCUACAGCUUAACUGUGGGCUUGCUUUCGAUACGGGCAGACUUGAGGCAUGCAGGGGAGAGUGGAAUUCCUGGUGUAGCGGUGAAAUGCGCAGAUAUCAGGAAGAACACCCGUGGCUAAGGCGGCUCUCUAGUACGGUACUGACGCUGAGACGCGAAAGCGUGGGGAGCGAACAGG
rnacentral:rRNA from 1 species